rnacentral:rRNA from 1 species
AUGCAUAUUCGGCCGACUUCCUCUCGGGUCCUUUCGGCCUUCUCUGAUGCAGAUUGGGCUGGUAGCCCAGAUGACAGGCGAUCCACGGGGGGUUAUGCAGUAUUCUUUGGCUCUAAUUUGAUCGCCUGGAGUGCUCGGAAACAGGCUACUGUGUCACGUAGCAGUACUGAAGCUGAGUACAAGGCUGUGGCUAAUGCUACUGCAGAGAUUAUUUGGGUGCAGUCUUUGCUUCAGGAGUUGGGUUUGUCUCAACCACAGCCUCCUAUUUUUUGGUGUGAUAACAUCGGUGCUACAUACCUUUCUGCAAAUCCAGUAUUUCAUGCCCGAACGAAACACAUUGAAGUUGACUAUCACUUUGUACGGGAACGUGUAUCACAGAAGCAACUUCAGAUCAAGUUUAUCUCGUCUAAGGAUCAACUUGCAGAUAUCUUCACUAAGCCUUUACCACUGCCACAGUUUGAGACUUGUAGGCGCAAUCUUACCCUUCUCAGUUUUUUAGAAAGUGGCUAA